rnacentral:rRNA from 1 species
GUGAGUAACACGUGGGCAAUCUGCCCUGCACUCUGGGACAAGCCCUGGAAACGGGGUCUAAUACCGGAUAACACUCCUGCACUCAUGUGUGGGGGUUAAAAGCUCCGGCGGUGCAGGAUGAGCCCGCGGCCUAUCAGCUUGUUGGUGAGGUAAUGGCUCACCAAGGCGACGACGGGUAGCCGGCCUGAGAGGGCGACCGGCCACACUGGGACUGAGACACGGCCCAGACUCCUACGGGAGGCAGCAGUGGGGAAUAUUGCACAAUGGGCGAAAGCCUGAUGCAGCGACGCCGCGUGAGGGAUGACGGCCUUCGGGUUGUAAACCUCUUUCAGCAGGGAAGAAGCGCAAGUGACGGUACCUGCAGAAGAAGCGCCGGCUAACUACGUGCCAGCAGCCGCGGUAAUACGUAGGGCGCAAGCGUUGUCCGGAAUUAUUGGGCGUAAAGAGCUCGUAGGCGGCUUGUCACGUCGGGUGUGAAAGCCCGGGGCUUAACCCCGGGUCUGCAUUCGAUACGGGCUAGCUAGAGUGUGGUAGGGGAGAUCGGAAUUCCUGGUGUAGCGGUGAAAUGCGCAGAUAUCAGGAGGAACACCGGUGGCGAAGGCGGAUCUCUGGGCCAUUACUGACGCUGAGGAGCGAAAGCGUGGGGAGCGAACAGGAUUAGAUACCCUGGUAGUCCACGCCGUAAACGGUGGGAACUAGGUGUUGGCGACAUUCCACGUCGUCGGUGCCGCAGCUAACGCA